CUACGGGCGGCUCCAGCAGGGAAUAUUGCACAAUGGACGGAGGUCUGAUGCAGCGACGCCGCGUGGAUGAUGAAGGCCUUCGGGUUGUAAAAUCCUUUUCAGGGAGAAGAGGAAGGACGGUAUCCCUGGAAUAAGCGUCGGCUAACUACGUGCCAGCAGCCUCGGUAAUACGUAGGACGCAAGCGUUAUCCGGAUUUACUGGGCGUAAAGCGUCUGUAGGCGGUUUAGUAAGUUUGAUGUGAAAGCUCCAGGCUCAACUUGGAGAGUGCAUUGAAUACUGCUAGACUUGAGGGGAUCAGAGGAAAGCGGAAUUUCCGGUGUAGCGGUAAAAUGCGCAGAUAUCGGAAAGAACACCAGUGGCGAAGGCGGCUUUCUGGGAUCAACCUGACGCUGAGAGACGAAAGCUAGGGUAGCGAACAGGAUUAGAUACCCUGGUAGUC
rnacentral:rRNA from 1 species